rnacentral:pre_miRNA from 1 species
GUAAUACUCCCUCCGUCCGAAAAUACUUGUCAUCAAAAAGAAUAAAAAGGGAUGUAUCUAGAUGUAUUUUAGUUCUAGAUACAUCCCUUUUCAUCCAUUUGUCAUUUCGGACGGAGGGAGUAUCAG